GGUAAUAAAGGAAAGUGUGUUCAUAGACGCAAGAAAAAUAAUGCCAGUUCGUAGUCAAUAGUACACGGGAGUUGAAAUACUGUAUCAAGAAGUCGUAGCCAUGAUGUUGAGCCGAUUACAGGUACAUGUCAUAUGUGAAGUCGUGGCUGUG